CCUACGGGUGGCUGCAGUGGGGAAUCUUGCGCAAUGGGCGAAAGCCUGACGCAGCAACGCCGCGUGGGGGAUGAAGGCUCUCGGGUUGUAAACCCCUUUCAGCAGGGACGAAAUCAGACGGUACCUGCAGAAGCAGCUCCGGCUAACUACGUGCCAGCAGCCGCGGUAACACAUAGGGGGCAAGCGUUGUCCGGAUUUAUUGGGCGUAACGAGCUCGUAGGUGGCUGAGUAAGUCGGAUGUUAAAUCCCCAGGCUCAACCUGGGACACCACCCGAUACUGCUCUGGCUAGAGUCCGGUAGGGGAGCGUGGAAUUCCUGGUGUAGCGGUGAAAUGCGCAGAUAUCAGGAGGAACACCAGCGGCGAAGGCGGCGCUCUGGGCCGGUACUGACACUGAGGAGCGAAAGCGUGGGUAGCAAACAGGAUUAGAUACCCCAGUAGUC
rnacentral:rRNA from 1 species